UGGAGGCGGGAGGAGGGUGACGGAGGCGGCCCAGACAGCGGGCACAACGCCUCAGCUUGCCAUCGGGAGUCGUCACCUUUGCUGAGCUCGGAGGAUUUCACCUCCAGGAGUUCCUCAGCUGUCCGGAAGCCGGCAGACACCUGCUUCACCCGCACCGCUCUAGACAAGCGGAAACUCACUAAACCCCGCGGCACUUCAAAGCUGGAGGCCUGCGUGCUCUGCCGCGUCCUUUACGUCUGACGUAGGCGGAAGGGGCGGGGCCGCUGCUGUGCGGAGUUAUGCCCCAUUUUCCCACGCCCACACCGUGGUAAUCGUUUUUCUCCCAUAUCUCAUUGGAGUUUCCCCAUCAAAAGUACAUCCUGGCAGUAAAAGAUGGUUGCAGACCGCAGGAUGGAGAGUCAGGCCGUACACUGCACAUUUCCUCACCUCAGCCUUAGACCGAUGGUGGAGAUUAAAGGCUUGUUAAUAGGAACGAUCUCUCCGAGAGGGAGUAACGUACGCACAGUGGCCAGCUGCGGGUUUUGAGUAUGGAUCAGUCAUAUAAGCAUUUAACCCGCAUCCUCCUUAUAGGGUUGCGGGAUCCGCUCUUCUCGCCAGCGGUUCUCCUCGCCUUUCCCGCCCUUGCGCGGGAUUUGGGCCAGCCUCUCCUCGCCCCUCCCCUCUUCCCUCCCCUCUCCUCUCCCUUCUCCUUCGCCCCUCCCACCUCGCCGCGCACCCAGGGCCGCGCGGAACGCUCGGCGCCCAAUCCCCACAGCCACCCGCUCCUUCCCACGAGUCCAGCCUGGAGCUCGAUGGUUUCUGAGGCGGUUAGUUCUCAACGGCCCGCCGAGCUUAAGAAGUACCUGAGAAGGAAUCAUUACAUGAAAUUUGGACAUUUUUCUGAGAACUCUCAGUCCACAACAUUCAAGCCGCUUUCAUUAGCUGGAGGAAUCUGGACCUGAGAAAGGUCCACGUUGACUUACCCGUGGGUCAGGACAAGUGGCGCCUAACGUGGGUCCCGAGUACGGGGGACGCCGUGAGGAACGCUGUGCAGUGUGUCGGCCGACAAAGCAUAUAGAGACAGGAGGACAUCCACCCGGUGCUCGCCUGAAACUCGGCAUCGGGCUUGCCGCCUCCACCCCUCCCCAGUGGACCCUUGUACAGCAGACUAUUCUUGUUACCACUUACUGGAUCCUUGUUGGCAUCUUCCCACUUCUUAACUGCGCCUUAUAAAAGGAUGAAGCCCAUCAACUCUCGCAUUUUCACCUUCUUCGCUAGGUGUUCUGCCUUGGGAUUUCGUCCCCCUGGACUUACACCAACAGUGAGGGCCAUCAUCACACCGCGGGUCUGUGCAGAGCCCUUUGAAUUCUCCAAACACGUGUGUAGGUGGGGCCGCUGUGUGAGCUUUUCCCUAGUUUGCUCCCAUCAAAAUGAGAAUCACUGUUCAACUGAUCUGUCACUUAAGGGUGAUUAUUUGCUGCAGAUUUGAAAGAGCAUAUGUUGUACCUGUCCUUGAAGCUUUGAACGAACAACUUAUUUUUGGUAAUACGUGGACUGGACUUUUAAAUUGCAGUUUUAUCAAAGUUCACCUUUUUAGAGUUGCUCUUUCAGUUACGUGAAUAGCUGCUUGUUUAAGUGCGCCAAACAGUGACGUCACUAGCGCCGAGCCCUUGAAGGAACUAAUUUGUUUCCCUUUAAAUCCUAGAGUAUCUUUCCAGUUUUAUGGGAACAACCCUUACUGAGCAAAGGACGCGCUUAAUGAGAUCACAAAAGGGGUGUGGAAUAUGUAGAUUGGCGCAGUGACUGCUGGUCAUGCUUACACUAGGCAUAUAUUUCCCCAGAUUUUGGCAAUAUGCAGGUAUGCAAACUAGUGCGCCCUGGUAAUUAUAGUCUGGAGACUCUUUAUUCCAGAAAGAAAGGGAACGGUAGGAUGCAUGAGAAAAGUGUUCCUCUCUUUAGAGUGAUUUGAAGUGAGGGUAAGGUGCCAGGCAAAUCAAGGAGCUUGUAUUUGCUUAGCAGAUGCUAGUCCAUUAUGCUGUGGAUGUGCUGAUACCUGUGAUUUCCCCAAAUAUGGGAAACUUGACUGUAAUUUGUGGUAGUCGGGGCUGCUGUUCAUACCUUCCUGUGAUUUUAUUCGUUCAAGGGAUUGAAUGUGAGCUGGAUUUAGUGACUGACUUCUAACCAUUCAUGUUAUGUGACAGAAGUGAUGCUAUAAGCUUUCUGAGGCUAGGUCAUAAAAAGGAUAAUUUCCAUCUGGCUCCCUCUCUGGAUUGCUCACUCUGGAGGAGGCCAGCCAUCACGCUGUGGGGACAUUCAAUCAUGGAGCACGGGGACACCCAUAUGAGGAGGACUGAGGCUCCCUCCAGCAUCCGGCACCACCGUGGGAACCGUGUAAGUGAGCAGCACACCACCUUGGAAGUGGACCUCCAGCUUAUCAAGCCUUUAGAUCUGCAGCCCUGGCAGAGAUCUUGAGUCCCUUGUGAAAGACCCAGAGCCAGAACUACCCAAACUACUCCUGAAUUCUUGGCUCACAGAAAUUGUGAGGAAUAAAUGUUUAUUGUUAUUUUAAGCCAC